GAAAGGAUGGUGGUGGUGGCUACCUUUCCUUCAGAUCUGAGAUGACCCCAGUGCACUGGAACAAUAAAUUUCUCUUGCAUUUUGCAUCGAUACCGAUUCCGGCUCCAAGUGGUUACUCAGGUGGUCCUGGCAUACAUAAGAGGCUGGACAAAAGAAGUAGACUAGAAGGAGAAAGAGGAAGAAAUGAGGAAAGCAGAGGAAGAGGAGACAUGAGCAGUCAUUUCCUUUGGAAGAUGGAGU
rnacentral:lncRNA from 1 species